UUGGCUUCGUUGCGUUCUCAAACAACAUUGGCAUAGUUCGCGAAGGUGGAGUACGCCGCACAUACCGCGAGCUCAUUACUGUCGUGCCAUGCGUCAUGACUGAAAACCACCGUUCUAUUUUGUCGUCGUCGUCGCCGCCGCCGUCGCGGCCGUCGGAAUAACGAUGUCACAACAGGGUCGGUAAACAGCAAGCACGGUUUUCCCAACUUUCAAAUAACGCCAAUCAGUCUACGGCCGACAACGCCAAUGAGAAUUCAUCGGCAUCGAUUUCCGAGCAAUUCGCGUCGAGGUAUCAUCGGACGGCAGAUUGGAAGUUGAUGAUAGAGGGUCGGAAGAGACG